CAAUAGCGUAUAUUAAAGUUGUUGCAGUUAAAAAGCUCGUAGUUGGAUUUCGGGGUGGCCUGCCUGGUCCACCGCAAGGUGAGUACUGGUCAGCCGCCCUUCCUCUCGAAAGCCCCGACUGCUCUUCAUUGCAGUGGUCGGGUAGUUCGGGACGUUUACUUUGAAAAAAUUAGAGUGUUCAAGGCAGGCUAUCGCCUGAAUACAUUAGCAUGGAAUAAUGGAAGAGGACCUCGGUCCUAUUUUGUUGGUUUCUAGGGCCGAAGUAAUGAUUAAGAGGGACAGUUGGGGGCAUUCGUAUUUAAUUGUCAGAGGUGAAAUUCUUGGAUUUAUGAAAGACGAACUAGUGCGAAAGCAUUUGCCAAGGAUGUUUUCAUUGA
rnacentral:rRNA from 1 species